AUUGAACGCUGGCGGCAUGCUUUACACAUGCAAGUCGAACGGUAACAGGCCGCAAGGUGCUGACGAGUGGCGAACGGGUGAGUAAUGCAUCGGAACGUGCCCAGUCGUGGGGGAUAGCGCAGCGAAAGCUGCGCUAAUACCGCAUACGAUCUGUGGAUGAAAGCGGGGGACCGAAAGGCCUCGCGCGAUUGGAGCGGCCGAUGUCAGAUUAGGUAGUUGGUGGGGUAAAGGCCCACCAAGCCAACGAUCUGUAGCUGGUCUGAGAGGACGACCAGCCACACUGGGACUGAGACACGGCCCAGACUCCUACGGGAGGCAGCAGUGGGGAAUUUUGGACAAUGGGCGCAAGCCUGAUCCAGCAAUGCCGCGUGCAGGAAGAAGGCCUUCGGGUUGUAAACUGCUUUUGUACGGAACGAAACGGCUCUGGUUAAUACCUGGGGCUAAUGACGGUACCGUAAGAAUAAGCACCGGCUAACUACGUGCCAGCCGCCGCAGUAACAC
rnacentral:rRNA from 1 species